rnacentral:rRNA from 1 species
AUUCCAGCUCCAAGAGCGUAUAUUAAAGUUGUUGCAGUUAAAAAGCUCGUAGUUGAAUUUUGGGGUGGCCCCAGGAGGUCCACUUAUUUGUGAGUACUUUUUGGGACCGCCCUUCCAUGGCUUAUCCCUUCAGGGGGGUGGGCCAUAAUUACUUUGAGUAAAUGAGAGUGUUCAAAGCAGGCAAGCGCUUGAAUCUUUUAGCAUGGAAUAAUAAAAUAGGACGAUGAUUCUAUUUUGUUGGUUUCUAGGACCAUCGUAAUGAUUAAUAGGGACGGUCGGGGGCAUUAGUAUUCAGUUGUAAGAGGUGAAAUUCUUAGAUUUUCUGAAGACUAACUACUGCGAAAGCAUUUGUCAAGGACGUUUUCAUCG